CUACGGAGGGAGCGAGCGUUAAUCGGAAUUACUGGGCGUAAAGCGCGCGUAGGCGGCUUUGUAAGUCGGAUGUGAAAGCCCAGGGCUCAACCCUGGAAUUGCAUUCGAUACUGCAUGGCUAGAGUAUGGUAGAGGGAAGUGGAAUUUCCGGUGUAGCGGUGAAAUGCGUAGAUAUCGGAAGGAACACCAGUGGCGAAGGCGACUUCCUGGGCCAAUACUGACGCUGAGGUGCGAAAGCGUGGGGAGCAAACAGGAUUAGAAACCCCAGUAGUCC
rnacentral:rRNA from 1 species